CGAAGACCGAAAAUAGGAGUAUAUCGAACUUCUAGUACUGUAUUAGGAUAGUCGGUAAAUAGCUCAUUUCAUCGAAGACUAUAAUUGGAUUGGCAUCCUCAAAAUAUUCACUUUCAAAUAAGCUAUCAACAUAGGACUUCAAUUUUGAGAGGGGCUAAACCGAACCAAACAAGUUUCCAAUGAUCGAAUGGAUUGGAAUUGGAAAUGAGCACUUGAUGAUAGAUAGAAGCUGAAGAGUGAUUACCAUUAAUGUUGUAUUUCCAAACAAGCUUGUCUUGAAAGUCUCUGCAGAUUGCUUGCUCAUUAAUUACUAUGUUGAAGUUAGCCAAUUGGUCAUGUUCCCAUCCAAAGAUGUUCUUGCGAAGCUCGAUGUUCCACCUCCAAUCAUUGCCAACCUAGUCACCAAACUCAUCAAUAUUACAUUGCUUAUUGGCUGCUAAAGUGUAGAUUAUAGGAAAGUCUCUCUUGAGAAUGAAACCAUCAACGCAUUCAUCUUCCUAAAAGCUGAUGCAGCUUCCAUUACCCAAGGAUAGACCCAUACCAUUCACCAUAAAAGAGUUAAGAUCACAAACACCCAAGAAAGGUUUGGUGAUAUUUUUCCAUUUAUUGAAAGCCUUACUCAAGUUACCUAAGCACGGAAUAAGCCUAUUAUGAUCAAGACCAGAUUUUUCAAUAACAACUUGACUCCAUAAGCUUUCCCGCUCA